GCCAGAGCGGUGAAAUCGAUAGACACAGUGGCUACAAAAUCCACCGCACUUAAAACCGUGACGGUUCGAGUCCGUCCUCUGGUACCA
rnacentral:tRNA from 1 species